rnacentral:rRNA from 1 species
AGUGAACGCUGGCGGCAGGCCUAACACAUGCAAGUCGAACGGAAGCACAGUAAGCGCUUGCUUUUACGGGUGGCGACUGGCGGGCGGGUGAGGCAUACAUCGCAAUCUUCUAUUUCGUGGGGGAUAACGGGGGAACACUUACGAUAAUACCGCAUAUGAUGUACGGGUGAAUGCAGAGGAUCUUCGGAGUUUGGGUGUUUGAAUGAGCCGAUGUCGCAUUAGCUAGUUGGGUGGGUAAGGGCACACCAAGGCAACGAUACGUAGCUGGUCUGAGAGGAUGAUCGGCCACACUGGAACUGAGACACGGUCCAGACUCCUACGGGAGGCAGCAGUGGGGAAUAUUGGGCAAUGGGCGAAAGCCUGACCCAGCCAUGCCGCGUGAGUGAUGAAGGUCUUCGGGUUGUAAAGCUCUGUUAUUGGGGAAGAAAAGAAGUAUGUGUAAACGUGGCUGUUUUGACGGUACCAAAAGAAUAAGCACCGGCUAACUACGUG